CGGAGGGUGCAAGCGUUGUCCGGAUUUAUUGGGUUUAAAGGGCGCGUAGGCGGCCCCUUAAGUCAGUGGUGAAAGCCCGCGGCUCAACCGCGGAACUGCCAUUGAUACUGGGGGGCUUGAGUACAGACGAGGUAGGCGGAAUUGAAGAUGUAGCGGUGAAAUGCUUAGAUAUCUUCAAGAACACCGAUUGCGUAGGCAGCUUACUAGGCUGUAACUGACGCUGAGGCACGAAAGCGUGGGGAGCGAACAGGAUUAGAUACCCUGGUAGUCCACGCCGUAAACGAUGAUUACUCGAUGUCGGCGAUAGACCGUCGGCGUCUUAGCGAAAGCGUUAAGUAAUCCACCUGGGGAGUACGCCCGCAAGGGUG
rnacentral:rRNA from 1 species